AGAGUUUGAUCAUGGCUCAGAUUGAACGCUGGCGGCAUGCUUUACACAUGCAAGUCGAACGGUAACAGGUCUUCGGAUGCUGACGAGUGGCGAACGGGUGAGUAAUGCAUCGGAACGUGCCCGGUCGUGGGGGAUAACGCAGCGAAAGCUGUGCUAAUACCGCAUACGAUCUAUGGAUGAAAGCGGGGGAUCGCAAGACCUCGCGCGAUUGGAGCGGCCGAUGUCAGAUUAGCUAGUUGGUGGGGUAAAGGCCCACCAAGGCGACGAUCUGUAGCUGGUCUGAGAGGACGACCAGCCACACUGGGACUGAGACACGGCCCAGACUCCUACGGGAGGCAGCAGUGGGGAAUUUUGGACAAUGGGCGCAAGCCUGAUCCAGCAAUGCUGCGUGCAGGAAGAAGGCCUUCGGGUUGUAAACUGCUUUUGUACGGAACGAAAAGGUCUGGGUUAAUACCCUGGGCUCAUGACGGUACCGUAAGAAUAAGCACCGGCUAACUACGUGCCAGCAGCCGCGGUAAUACGUAGGGUGCAAGCGUUAAUCGGAAUUACUGGGCGUAAAGCGUGCGCAGGCGGUUUUGUAAGACAGGCGUGAAAUCCCCGGGCUCAACCUGGGAAUGGCGCUUGUGACUGCAAAGCUGGAGUGCGGCAGAGGGGGAUGGAAUUCCGCGUGUAGCAGUGAAAUGCGUAGAUAUGCGGAGGA
rnacentral:rRNA from 1 species